UUUUUUUUUGGACGCACCGCUGGUGUACCAGUGUCUUGCCAAAGGCAUCGCUGGGUAGCUAUGUGCGGAAGGGAUAAGUGCUGAAAGCAUCUAAGCAUGAAGCCCCCCUCAAGAUGAGAUUUCUCUUUCUUUGAAGUAAGACCCCUGAAAGAUGAUCAGGUUGAUAGGUUCGAGGUGGAAGUAUGGUGACAUAUGGAGCUGACGAAUACUAAUCGGUCGAGGACUUAACCAA
rnacentral:ncRNA from 1 species